rnacentral:rRNA from 1 species
UACGUAGGGUGCAAGCGUUAAUCGGAAUUACUGGGCGUAAAGCGUGCGCAGGCGGUUGGGUAAGACAGAUGUGAAAUCCCCGGGCUCAACCUGGGAACUGCAUUUGUGACUGCACAGCUGGAGUGCGGCAGAGGGGGAUGGAAUUCCGCGUGUAGCAGUGAAAUGCGUAGAUAUGCGGAGGAACACCGAUGGCGAAGGCAAUCCCCUGGGCCUGCACUGACGCUCAUGCACGAAAGCGUGGGGAGCAAACAGG